UACGUAGGUGGCAAGCGUUGUCCGGAAUCACCGGGCGUAAAGGGCGCGUAGGCGGACUUUUAAGUCAGAUGUGAAAACUUUGGGCUCAACCCAGAGAUUGCAUCUGAUACUGGGAGUCUUGAGUGCAGGAGAGGACAGUGGAAUUCCUAGUGUAGCGGUGAAAUGCGUAGAUAUUAGGAGGAACACCAGUGGCGAAGGCGGCUGUCUGGACUGUAACUGACGCUGAGGCGCGAAAGCGUGGGGAGCAAACAGGAUUAGAUACCCUGGUAGUCCACGCCGUAAACGAUGGGUACUAGGUGUAGAAGGUAUCGACCCCUUCUGUGCCGGAGUUAACACAAUAAGUACCCCGCCUGGGGAGUACGGCCGCAAGGUUGAA
rnacentral:rRNA from 1 species